rnacentral:rRNA from 1 species
UACGUAGGGUGCAAGCGUUGUCCGGAAUUAUUGGGCGUAAAGAGCUCGUAGGCGGUCUGUCGCGUCGGCUGUGAAAAACUCGGGGCUCAACUCCGAGCUUGCAGUCGAUACGGGCAGGCUAGAGUUCGGCAGGGGAGACUGGAACUCCUGGUGUAGCGGUGAAAUGCGCGAUAUAGGAGGAACACCGGUGCGAAGGCGGGUCUCUGGGCCGAUACUGACGCUGAGGAGCGAAAGCGUGGGGAGCGAACAGG